GAUGAACGCUGGCGGCGUGCCUAAUACAUGCAAGUCGAGCGAACGGACGAGAAGCUUGCUUCUCUGAUGUUAGCGGCGGACGGGUGAGUAACACGUGGGUAACCUACCUAUAAGACUGGGAUAACUUCGGGAAACCGGAGCUAAUACCGGAUGAUAUUUUGAACCGCAUGGUUCAAAAGUGAAAGACGGUCUUGCUGUCACUUAUAGAUGGAUCCGCGCUGCAUUAGCUAGUUGGUAAGGUAACGGCUUACCAAGGCAACGAUGCAUAGCCGACCUGAGAGGGUGAUCGGCCACACUGGAACUGAGACACGGUCCAGACUCCUACGGGAGGCAGCAGUAGGGAAUCUUCCGCAAUGGGCGAAAGCCUGACGGAGCAACGCCGCGUGAGUGAUGAAGGUCUUCGGAUCGUAAAACUCUGUUAUUAGGGAAGAACAUAUGUGUAAGUAACUGUGCACAUCUUGACGGUACCUAAUCAGAAAGCCACGGCUAACUACGUG
rnacentral:rRNA from 1 species